AACGAACGCUGGCGGCAUGCCUAACACAUGCAAGUCGAACGAGACCUUCGGGUCUAGUGGCGCACGGGUGCGUAACGCGUGGGAAUCUGCCCUUGGGUUCGGAAUAACAGCGAGAAAUUGCUGCUAAUACCGGAUGAUGACGUAAGUCCAAAGAUUUAUCGCCCAAGGAUGAGCCCGCGUAGGAUUAGCUAGUUGGUGAGGUAAAGGCUCACCAAGGCGACGAUCCUUAGCUGGUCUGAGAGGAUGAUCAGCCACACUGGGACUGAGACACGGCCCAGACUCCUACGGGAGGCAGCAGUGGGGAAUAUUGGACAAUGGGCGAAAGCCUGAUCCAGCAAUGCCGCGUGAGUGAUGAAGGCCUUAGGGUUGUAAAGCUCUUUUACCCGGGAUGAUAAUGACAGUACCGGGAGAAUAAGCCCCGGCUAACUCCGUGCCAGCAGCCGCGGU
rnacentral:rRNA from 1 species